rnacentral:rRNA from 1 species
UACGAGGGGUGCUAGCGUUGUUCGGAAUCACUGGGCGUAAAGGGUACGCAGGCGGUCCAGCAAGUCGAUUGUGAAAGCCCCAGGCUCAACCUGGGAAUUGCGGUCGAAACUGCUGAACUAGAGUAUAGUGGGGGAUAGUGGAAUUCCUAGUGUAGGGGUGAAAUCCGUAGAUAUUAGGAGGAAUACCGGUGGCGAAAGCGACUAUCUAGGCUAUUACUGACGCUGAGGUACGAAAGCGUGGGGAGCAAAC